rnacentral:rRNA from 1 species
GACGAACGCUGGCGGCGUGCUUAACACAUGCAAGUCGAACGGAAAGGCCCUGCUUUUGUGGGGUGCUCGAGUGGCGAACGGGUGAGUAACACGUGAGUAACCUGCCCUUGACUUUGGGAUAACUUCAGGAAACUGGGGCUAAUACCGGAUAGGAGCUCCUGCUGCAUGGUGGGGGUUGGAAAGUUUCGGCGGUUGGGGAUGGACUCGCGGCUUAUCAGCUUGUUGGUGGGGUAGUGGCUUACCAAGGCUUUGACGGGUAGCCGGCCUGAGAGGGUGACCGGCCACAUUGGGACUGAGAUACGGCCCAGACUCCUACGGGAGGCAGCAGUGGGGAAUAUUGCACAAUGGGCGGAAGCCUGAUGCAGCAACGCCGCGUGCGGGAUGACGGCCUUCGGGUUGUAAACCGCUUUCGCCCGUGACGAAGCGUGAAUGACGGGAAUGGGUAAAGAAGCACCGGCUAACUACGUGCCAGCAGCCGCGGUGAUACCUAAGGUGCGAGCGUUGUCCGGAUUUAUUGGGCGUAAAGGGCUCGUAGGUGGUUGAUCGCGUCGGAAGUGUAAUCUUGGGGCUUAACCCUGAGCGUGCUUUCGAUACGGGUUGACUUGAGGAAGGUAGGGGAGAAUGGAAUUCCUGGUGGAGCGGUGGAAUGCGCAGAUAUCAGGAGGAACACCAGUGGCGAAGGCGGUUCUCUGGGCCUUUCCUGACGCUGAGGAGCGAAAGCGUGGGGAGCGAACAGGCUUAGAUACCCUGGUAGUCCACGCUGUAAACGGUGGGUACUAGGUGUGGGGUCCAUUCCACGGGUUCCGUGCCGUAGCUAACGCUUUAAGUACCCCGCCUGGGGAGUACGGCCGCAAGGCUAAAACUCAAAGGAAUUGACGGGGCCCCGCACAAGCGGCGGAGCAUGCGGAUUAAUUCGAUGCAACGCGUAGAACCUUACCUGGGUUUGACAUGGAUCGGGAGUGCUCAGAGAUGGGUGUGCCUCUUUUGGGGUCGGUUCACAGGUGGUGCAUGGCUGUCGUCAGCUCGUGUCGUGAGAUGUUGGGUUAAGUCCCGCAACGAGCGCAACCCUUGUUCACUGUUGCCAGCACGUUAUGGUGGGGACUCAGUGGAGACCGCCGGGGUCAACUCGGAGGAAGGUGGGGAUGACGUCAAGUCAUCAUGCCCCUUAUGUCCAGGGCUUCACGCAUGCUACAAUGGCUGGUACAGAGAGUGGCGAGCCUGUGAGGGUGAGCGAAUCUCGGAAAGCCGGUCUCAGUUCGGAUUGGGGUCUGCAACUCGACCUCAUGAAGUCGGAGUCGCUAGUAAUCGCAGAUCAGCAACGCUGCGGUGAAUACGUUCCCGGG